UGUGGCUAUUCCUGUAAGUAUAAUGGUCACUUUAAGACACACAUGAUGAUUCAUACAGGAGAGAGACCACACAAAUGUGAGGUGUGAGGUUAUGAAUGUAACAGGAGUGAUCACUUGAAGACACACAUGAGGAGGAUACAUUCAGGAGAAAGACUGUACAAGUGUGAGGAGUGUGGUUAUGUUUGUAACCAGAGUGUACAAGUGUGAGGAGUGUGGUUAUGUUUGUAACCAGAAUGUACAAGUGUGAGGAGUGUGGUUUUGCUUGUAACCAGAGUUCUGACUUGAAGAAACACAUGAGGAUACAUACAGAACAGAGACUGUACAAAUGUGAGGUGUGUGGUAGAGCAUUUUAACAGAGUGGUACAUUGACAACACAUGAAGCUUCUUAAAGGAGAGAGACCGUUCACGUGGGAUGUGUGUGGCUUUUCAUUUAAACACAGAAGUCACUUGAAAAAACACUUGAUGAUACAUUUAAGCGAGAAACAAGUGUGAGUUGUGGUUAUGCAUGUAAGAAGAGUGGUCACUUGAAGACACACAUGAGGAUACAUUCACGAGAAAGGCUGUAAAAGUGUGAGGAAUGUGGCUCUGCAUCUAACACUAGUGGUAACUUGUAGAAGCACAUGAGGAUACAUAAUUGAAGAAAUAUUUAAAACAGGAAAAUAUCACAAAUCUCCGAUAAAAGAAGUGCUAUUACUUCUUGUGAUCAAUAUAAACUUGUAUAGUAAGAUAACAAAACAAUCUUCUCAUAAACCAGGGUUGGCAUAUUGAUCGGUCAAUUGAGUAUUGACCGGGCUGGCGGUCAAUACCCGGUUAAAACCGGUCAAUACUGGUCAUUAUUGGUCAAUACUGGUCGAUUGAAAAUUGUAGCAUUUAAACAUGACAAAGGAAGAAUUUAAGCUAUUCUAUAUUAAAUCAAUCAUUAUUCUGUAAUUGAUCAACUUUUUUUGAGUUAUCUAUUGUAAAAAAAGCUUUAAAGCUGUAAAAAAAUACUUCUUUAUUAUUUAUGGAAACGGUCUCAAAUACAAAAGAACUAAGGCAAUAUCUUUAUCUCAGUGUAUCACAUCUGUUACUGAAGUAUUAUUACUAUUGUAGUUACCAUAGUAUUUCACUGAUCUUUUGAUAUAUCUAUUUGAUAAGCUGAUGGACAAACAGAACUCUUGUGGUUUCUAGUGUCAUAAAUGAUCUGGCCCCUAAGCCUUAAUUGGUAAUAAAAUGCAUGCACUGGUAUGUCUCUGAUAGUUACAAUGAAGCAAAUCUGCCCUUAGGCUAUUUCAUUUCACUCAAACAAAAUGAGAUAACUUGCUAUUAAUAUUAUUAAUUUAAUAGUUACUUCUAAAUUGUCUCCUUUCUAUAUUAAGAGGGUUUUCUUAUUUUAAAGUUCAAUUGGUCUUCAAAUGAAUAAACAAUCAAAGUUCUUGAUUUUGGCAACAAAUAAUGUUGACCAAUUGUGGGUCUACUCUAGACUCUUCUUUUCAUUUAUUUCUUUCUUUUAAUAAUUAUUUCUUAUUAAGUUUUGUUUUAUAUCAAUGGUAAAAUAAAAUAUUUUUUCACUAUUUUGUUAAAGAAAUCCAGGCAAGAAUACAUGACAAGUAAGGGUUGUGUCAAAGGUGCCAUGUAAGGCCCUAUUAUCAGCUUUGGGUGCCCUAACCUGUUUAGGUUUGAAGACUGUGAAAGACUGUGGAGACAGUGGGGCAUGUGGAACAACUAAUACACAGUCAUUGACAGGUUCUUGUUGAAUCAAGCACAGAAUUUUCUGAGCAUUCAUAAUUUGUUAGAAUUGAAAAAAAAUUCAAUCGACCAGCAAAAUCCAAUUGACCAACUUGACUCAUUUGCAAAAUUUUGAGAGAUUGGCCUACAAUUUGCAUGAACAGGUAUAAAAUAGUGGGGUUUAAUAGCUUAAGACAUUAUUGGCAACAUGGCUGUUUAAUUUAUAUUAUCAAUAUUGUUUAAUUAAGCAUGGAAUAUUAAUCAAAAUUGGGGGUAAAGUUCAAUCGACCAGUAUUGACCAGUAAUGUUCACUUUGGGAGUAUUGACCGGGGCGGUUUUAACCGGUAAAAACCGCCGGUUAAAACCGGGGGCGGUCGAUUGGUGCCAACCCUGUCUUAAACGAUAAGCCAUGAAGGCUUAUUGGGUUUUGGCAGUUUUUGAAGAAGUCCUAUCGAAACAAUGAAGAAAUGCGAGGAUUAAAAUGUGUUCCAUGUAUUUGUUUCGUAUCAGAUCGAAAAUGCCCAUAGACAUUAUUAACUAAAACAAGGGAUAAAAUAUACAAUUUAUAUUUACGCAAAAACAAGCUACCAGUAUAUUGCAGUAAAGCAGGACAUUGUCCGUAUGUGGUCCAAGCGUUGUAUUUCAUACUCACAAGUUUGGUUGGUGAAAACUUUAAAUACAAAAGGUCCAAAGAAAUUCUCCUUAAUAAUGGGUGAUUAUUUUCAGUUAUUCGUGCAUUUCGUUAUUUAUUCGAACUGUCUUUUUAUCUAAAAUGUUAUUCCUGGCGAAAAUAUUAUUGAAUUGAAAUUUUGUUGAAUUUGG